UGUAGCGUGCUCACUUCAGCAGCAUUGGAACAAUAUAGAAGAUUGGUUUGGUCCCUGAGCAAGGAUGACACAUCAAUUUGUGAAGCGUUCCAUAUUUUU
ensembl:snRNA U6 U6 spliceosomal RNA